UACGGGGGGGCAAGCGUUGUUCGGAAUUACUGGGCGUAAAGGCUCGUAGGCGGCCAACUAAGUCAGACGUGAAAUCCCUCGGCUUAACCGGGGAACUGCGUCUGAUACUGGAUGGCUUGAGGUUGGGAGAGGGAUGCGGAAUUCCAGGUGUAGCGGUGAAAUGCGUAGAGUAUCUGGAGGAACACCGGUGGCGAAGGCGGCAUCCUGGACCAAUUCUGACGCUGAGUGAGCGAAAGCCAGGGGAGCAAACGGG
rnacentral:rRNA from 1 species